AAGACCAUACUUUCAGGGAUCAUUUCUUCAGUUCAUUACUAGAAUAGUUUCUCUAAAUGUGUAAGGCGUCAGAAACCACAAGGAGGAGGCACAGCAUUCUCUAGUGAGUGGGAAGCCAGCUGUUGGUGUUGCUUCGCUGAAACUGCCAUUUGCCAUUGAUAAUCGUUCUUCUCUUCCAUCAGGAGACUAAGAGGUAGAAAACGCAGUCUGAAUGGU
ensembl:snoRNA U3 Small nucleolar RNA U3